GACGAACGCUGGCGGCGUGCUUAACACAUGCAAGUCGAACGGAAAGGCCCUGCUUGCAGGGUACUCGAGUGGCGAACGGGUGAGUAACACGUGGGUGAUCUGCCCUGCACUUCGGGAUAAGCUUGGGAAACUGGGUCUAAUACCGGAUAGGAGCCAUCUUUAGUGUGGUGGUUGGAAAGUUUUUUCGGUGUAGGAUGAGCUCGCGGCCUAUCAGCUUGUUGGUGGGGUAAUGGCCUACCAAGGCGGCGUCGGGUAGCCGGCCUGAGAGGGUGUACGGCCACAUUGGGACUGAGAUACGGCCCAGACUCCUACGGGAGGCAGCAGUGGGGAAUAUUGCACAAUGGGCGCAAGCCUGAUGCAGCGACGCCGCGUGGGGGAUGAAGGCCUUCGGGUUGUAAACUCCUUUCGCUAGGGACGAAGCUUUUUUGUGACGGUACCUAGAUAAGAAGCACCGGCUAACUACGUG
rnacentral:rRNA from 1 species